rnacentral:rRNA from 1 species
GCGAUAAGCGCCGGUAAGGUGAUAUGAACCGUUAUAACCGGCGAUACCCGAAUGGGGAAACCCAGUGUGACUCGUCACACUAUCAUUAACUGAAUCCAUAGGUUAAUGAGGCGAACCGGGGGAACUGAAACAUCUAAGUACCCCGAGGAAAAGAAAUCAACCGAGAUUCCCCCAGUAGCGGCGAGCGAACGGGGAGGAGCCCAGAGCCUGAAUCAGCAUGUGUGUUAGUGGAAGCGUCUGGAAAGGCGCGCGAUACAGGGUGACAGCCCCGUACACAAAAGCGCAUGUGCUGUGAGCUCGAUGAGUAGGGCGGGACACGUGGUAUCCUGUCUGAAUAUGGGGGGACCAUCCUCCAAGGCUAAAUACUCCUGACUGACCGAUAGUGAACCAGUACCGUGAGGGAAAGGCGAAAAGAACCCCGGCGAGGGGAGUGAAAAAGAACCUGAAACCGUGUACGUACAAGCAGUGGGAGCCCCACCACCAAAGCAUUCUCUGGUGUUGAAGGCCCUGCAAAGCAGCAUCGCGGUGGCGGAGCGUCGUUUGCGACGCCCAACACACAAAACAAGCGGUGAGUGCUUUGGGGUGGGGUGACUGCGUACCUUUUGUAUAAUGGGUCAGCGACUUAUAUUCUGUAGCAAGGUUAACCGAAUAGGGGAGCCGGAGGGAAACCGAGUCUUAAU